CUAGUAUACCUUAGUGGAAUUAAAAGCUAACAGGUGUUAGCACACUUAAGACAUUCCCCCAUUUUUCAAAAGCCGAUAAUAUGGAUUGUGUUUGGCAGCGACCAUUCUGGGCAGAAAUCAAAAUAAGACGUGUGAAAACAACUCAAUUGGAAGUAAUCUGCAGUAGCAGGAGGACUCGGGCAAUUUCGGGUCCCCGUUUAGAUGAUACAACACACAAACGAAGAGCUAAGCCAGUCUCCACCGAUCGCAGCACCGCACAGACCUAACCUGUAGCCUCCCCACUGCCUCAGGACGCGGACUCCACGCUCCUCGAAAAGCGCAUGUCCCCCCACCCCCCAGCCUCUCCUAACGCAAUACCUUGGGCUCUCUGGCUGCGCAGCAAUUCAGCUAAUCCCUAAUACAAUCAGGUAGUUAAAAACACGGUUUAGUGCCUCUGCUGUUUGUUUAGCCAGCCUCCCCACAUUAGAGGGUUAUGCAAGAACUGUUGCAGGCAUCAGCUGAACUGAACCAGGUCGAUUUCGCUAACCUUUAACACCGCUAAAAACACACACACACUCACGCAAACAAGCUGUAAAUUAAAGAGCGUCCCUGAACGAUAGGACCCAGCCCAGGAGUCGUGUGUUGGUAUAUAGUCACUCGAUGGUGAAAUUCAGGACUUUGAUACCCUUCUACUAAACCUCUCUGACACCGCCAGUGGCGUCACGCAAGCGGUCUCUACCUACUGCGGGACGGCGGGCUGUGCGGAGAGGAGGUCUGAGAAACGGCCCUCAUAUUAACACGUCUUCAUGCUGAGAACAUAUGGUGUUCUUACUGAAAGGGCUGAACCGGGAGACAACGUGCCCUGGACGACAUCAGAAAAGAAGGCAAGAGGUUGUUCCUAAGGAUGAGAUAAAGGUCGCUGAAACAACGUUCAGAGGAGAUGUUGUGGGAAUGUCCAAUAUGAGGCCCCCGACACAUCACGUCUUCGCUGCUGCUGUCCGAUUUCAGCAUGAUCCUACCCACCGGAGAGGCGAGGCGGCACACGUCACGCCAACAGUGAGGUCAGCCUGGGGCGCUCUGGCAUGGAGAACCUGGGACUGUCAGAGUAUCAAGAAACAUGAUAUAAAAAUCCUAUAGCUUGCAGCACGGGAUAGGUGACAGACUGACCGAUGACUAUAAUCCCUCCUGCUGGCUGGGUAAAUACAGUUAUCAUCUCUAGCAGGCCAGGCACAGGAUUACUUACAGCCUUGACGUCUCUCGUGUCACACCUUCAAUCUGGACAUCUAAGCCUGUAACGCAUUUCAGCUUCCUCUUUCUAUCUUUAACUGUAGCCACAGACACCUACACUGCACUUCUGCGCUAAAUCUCGGGUGUAUUAUCUCUGCUCCUUAAGCUGAAUUGCUUGUAUCCCUACAGAUCGUGUACCGGAACACGUUUCCUUCGGGCAGCAAUAAUAUGAACACUUUAUUUAAUUUUAAUAACUGUAUUGAUUUCUUUUACCAAAGGAUGCAAUUGCUUUCUUGUACUGGUAAAGUGUAUCGAGCAAGAAUAUAAAAGCUUCAUAUCAUCCAGUACUAAAUUUAGUCCGAUUUUUUUUCUUCAAAAGGAGUCUGUUCCUGAACUGGAUUGGCAUAUAAACGGAUACUGUUACAACAUACACUCAGUUAAUCUUUUGUGUUUUCUUCUUUAUCAUUAGGAGUUGAAAUAGUAUAUAUAUAUAUUUUUAGUUUUUCUAUAGUAUUGUCAUAUUUGUGGGAUUCAUUUACAUUCUGCACCAUGUAGGGACAUACUGUACAGUAUAUAAGUUAUAUGCGUAGAAAGUAUGAAACAAUAACUUUAGAAGCAAAAAAAAAAGAACAUGCAGUGAGACUAAAAAAAAAGAAGAAAAAACCUGUAAAACAGUUCCAUGAAGAAUGUGAUGAAAAAGGGAGCAAGUGUUGAAAACAGGAAAAUGAGGAAAAUAAGGUUGUCAAAGAUCAGAUUAUGCAGGUGGAACUGAAGUUUCCGGUAAGUGACUUAUAGACAUCGAUCCCAAAAAGGGCUCCUGGUACCUUUCAUCCAUUAUGGAAAAGGCCUCUGCUUUUUUUCUUUUCUGGGUUGAGUACGAAGAGACAGAGAACAGUAAUUCUAUGUGUCUUCCUUGUAGCUGUGGAUGUUGAAAUCUCCAGGGUCCAUUUUUUAAUGUCUUGUUAGCUACAAUUAUUUUUCAGUAAUCCUACUGUAGUUUUAUGCUAUUUCUGAUGUCCCUUCUAGCAAAACACACUGGUUUGACACACCAGGAGAGUUCCUCAAAUGACAAUGUUAAAGUGCAUCGAGUCAAGAAGCUAGGGUUAUUAUCUUUGGCCUAUUAUAUUAUAUUAUUGUUCUUUUCUCAGAUGUUUAAUGAAAAUCAAUGCACAUAAGAUUUUAUGUAAUAAUUGCACAAAAUUAGACCCGGUCUCCCUAAACUGGAAACUUACCUGAUUUUUUGUGUGCAAGGAAUCUGAAUCCCUCUGAGGUUGGCAGUUAUAGCAUCUUUCCAUGAUUGUGCAGUGACAGUGAUAUACAGUAUUACGUGUCUUUUGUUUCAUGUUCAACCUGAACACAGGAUGCACUCUUUCCAACCUCCUGUUCAUGGCAUAUUGAUAGAGUCAGGACCUGAUGGCUCAUUAUUCUCAUUAUACAUAGCCAAAGCAGUGAAGAGUUUGCGUGAAAUGUCCCUCUCUAAAGUGCAGCACACUUCCUUGUAAUUUGAAACUCAACUACUUUCACACCUGUGGUAUUUCACAAAGGGAACAGUGUGCAUGUCGGGGCGCAAAUUAAACAAAUUAAGUUUCUGAAUCUGCAACGUAAGAUGUUUCCAAUGAAACUGCUUGCACCAAACUGCAAAAAGUCUGUUGCCUCUUCAUUUCAAAAAUGGAGUAAAGCUGGGAGAAUAAGGCCAAACACUCAGCCUAGAUGGGUUUCUUUUGAUUCAUGGGUGCAUUCAAUGUCAGUGGAGUUAUUUCUAUUGACAGCCCUAUGAUAAACGUGCACAAUCAACAGCUAUAAAGUUGAUGGCAUUGCAGGAACACCAUAAAGCUGUAACAUUCAGGACUACUAGUGGCAGAAGGCCUUUCAGACCUAAUCACUUCUUACUGACAUAGGUCGUAUAUUUCCUAGAGGAAAAUCAUAAUGUCACAGAAGGCAAGGGAUGGAAACACAUUAUGGUAGCCAGUGUAAUUACUGAAAAAGUAUACACACGGUAUUAAUCUGUAUUCAUAGCAAUUUGCUUUGGGCAGUGAUCCUUUGUAACACCUCAUCCACCCGUCCUGCCUUCAUCAAGCAGGCAGAGAGAGUGAGGUCCUGUCUGCCCCCAGCUCUCACUCCUGGUGGUGCACGAUGCAGCGAGCUGCAGAGGUCUGCGGAAACGCUCGCCGUUUGCGCAAUGAAGCACUUGUGUCGUACCCUCGGGAAUGAAGGUCAGGAGCGUGCUCAGGCAGGACGGGCAGUUUCCAUCCGAUGCCAAGCAUUUUGGGCUUUGAGGGGAGAGCAGAAAAUAGGAGAAAAUACCAAAAGAGUGUUGCCUGAUUUUAGCAAGUCAUUUAAAGAAGGCGUGAUUUAUCAUUCCAACAAGAAAGCAGUUUAUCUGAUGAAGGACAGCUCUUGUUUCUGGGCUUGAAUGCUGUGCUGAGAGCCUCUUAAAUUUUUCCGAAGAAGGUAGAGCUCUGCAUUCUUGCAUCAAAGUAGGAGAAGUCGGAAAUAAUUAAGAAAUAUUUGCUUUCAUAUAGUGUAAGAUUAUACAAGGAUUAUACUGUACAUUCCUACUUAAACCUCAUGCAACAUGAACAAACAUUUACUGUGAUAUUGUAUAGCCCUGUAUUAUGCAAAUCAAGUGUUAUUUUAAAUAAAUGCUGCAGCUUGAGAGACAUACAGGUAAGAAUUGAAAUCAAUAAAAUAGAGCCAUUCAAAAUCUGCAAAUGAUCCACACGGAGCUGUUUAUCAAGCAGACGCUGCCUGUGAGCCAAGAGGUUUUUUUUCAGUCUUAAGUAUAUUUAGGAAAAUCUCUCUUAAUCCUGCUCCUUUUCCAUAGUAUGCACUGCUCACUGAGAACACGAUACACUUAGAAACUGAAGAAAACAGGUUAUUCAUACAAUGUAAGUUUUCCUUCAGAGGUAACAAAUGAGUCAUAGUUAUCUUGGGAAUUAUGACAAUGAAAUCAUUAAUGGUUUCUUAUUUUAUAUUGUAAAACCUAAUGUUCAGCGAUUAUCUUGUGUUAGAAUGUCCUCCCUCAAGAACAUGACAGUUAUUUCUCAUCUUUUG
ensembl:lincRNA